rnacentral:rRNA from 1 species
UCGGUAGGGGAGCGUUCUAUGCCGACUUGAAGCGCUAACGUAAGUGGGUGUGGAUUGGAUAGAAGUGAGAAUGUUGGCUUGAGUAGCGAAAAUAUUGGUGAGAAUCCAAUAUCCCGAAAACCUAAGGGUUCCUCCGGAAGGCUCGUCCGCGGGGGGUUAGUCAGGGCCUAAGCCGAGGCGGAAAAGCGUAGGCGAUGGACAACAGGUUAAUAUUCCUGUACUUUUUGUUACUGAUAUAGAGGGACG